ACCACAGGACUACCACUUCACAAUCACAGAGUACCACAGGACAUUUUUGUAAGGGAAUUGCACUGUAAGCCUCAACAUGCCAUUGCUUUUUAAACUACAUUAUUUUAUAUGGAGCCACUUAGCCAAAGACUUGUCAUCUUUUUGACAGCACAGCCAAUCAGAUUCAGAUAAUUCAGCAUGGUGGAAUGGGGAAAAAAAAUCACCAGCCCAGGGAAAACCUCUCAAACCCAGCCCCAGGCCAAUGUCCUUUGCGGAGUGGCCUUCCGCAGAUAACAAAAAAAACUGCUGCUGCAUCUUCGACAGUCUAGCAAGCAACCCAAGCAAUUCAGCAUAUGAAACAAAAAAAACAAGCAUAUCCCUUUCUCUGUCCUCCAUUACCUACAAGGCAGGUCAACUUGUCUAGCAUGUUAUCUGAUGUAUAUUACCUUUGAUAUUGUAGAAAAUCAAACAAGUGGACAUUUGAAAAACCAUAUUACCAUAGCAUUGACAAGAGAGGCCAGAGGACUCGGUGGUUGAUUUUAGAUCUGUACCUUAUGCAGAUACAAAGCUAUUUAAAAGUAUGCCUAUAAGCACAACACUUGAUUCAGCUAAUCAGCUAUUAAUCAAAGCCUUUGGUUGGUUGAAUCAAGUGUUAAUGCUGGGAUGGAACAAUAGCCUACUGCAUAGCCAGUGGGUCCAGGGUCCUUAGGACCAGGCUUGAAGUUGGAGCUCCAUUGAUUUAACUUGGAGCUCCACCGAUAGGAACUAGUGUAGUAUUACAACUUCUUGUUACCUUGCCGUUUCCCCCAUCUUUCUGUAUAUUCCUACAUUAUGGCCUUGUUUAAGAGCAUCAAAUCUGUAAUGUAUUGUUGACCAGUUUCCCAGAUUAUGGCUGUGUUUGUGAGCAUCAAAUCUGUGAUGUAUUGUUGAACUGUUUCCCAGAUUAUGCCUGUGUUUGAGAGCAUCAAAUCUUGUUAUGUAUUGUUGAACAGUUUCCCAGAUUAUGGGUGUGUUUGAGAGCAUCAAAUCUGUUAUAUGUAUUGUUGAACAGCUUCACUGAUCACAGACUGUAGCUUUAAUGACACACUACACUGAAUCAUUUCAGAAAGUAUCAAACAAAUCAAUCAUUGGUGUCAACGUACUUUAUUGCCAAAAGCUAAAAAUAUACAUUUCUGCUCGUUUCAACAAAUAACAGUCACUAUAUUCUCCUGUCUUACUCUUAGAUGACAUGCUAAGGAAACAAGGUAACAAAUUAAAGCAUGUCACGUACAUAGGCAAACUUUCACAUAUGCACAAAUACUCAGACAUCACUAGUUAAGAUUUUAUUUGCACAUGAAAAAUUCCACCUGCAAAUAAAAAUGAUAAAAGGUAGUGCACGAUAACAGUGGAACUUUUACCACGCCAGCAUUCAAACUACGAAAUUACGUUGAUCGAUCAGUGAAGGGCACUCUCUGCGAUUUUACACUACAUGGGGUGUAUUCAUAAGUGCACACCAUAGUUAAAUGUUUUGCAAUGAAAACUAGUUUGUUAUCGGACAAGUUCAGGUAGUCCUUUCCCGUUUCGGUCCGUUCUCUUCUGUUUGGUGUCUAUUGAAUACACUCCAGACGACACCACUGUAGUCGGUGAUUCCCUGAUGAAGAUACGGACCACAGAUAGCCAGUAGAACACAGGAGGUUGGUGGCACCUUAAUUGGGGAGGACGGGCUCGUGGUAAUGGAUGGACUGGAAUCAGUGGAAUGGUAUCAAAUACAUGGUUUCCAUGGUUUCCGUUCCAGCCAUUCUUAUGAGCCAUCCUCCCCUCAGCAGCCUCCACUGAAGUAGAACAUAGAACAUUUACAACUGAUGUGUCAUUGUCUACCUUCACCCAGAUUCCAGCCAGUCCACAGUCCUAUUAUGCAUCUCUACAUGUCUCAGUAUCAAUCCAUUUUGAGUUCCAGUUCUAUUACGUCAAAUAUGUCUCGCACAAUGGAGGCUGGUGGGAGGAGCUAUAGGACAGGCUCAUUGUAAUGGCUGGAAUGGAAUAAAUGAAGGUAUCAAACAUA